rnacentral:lncRNA from 1 species
UGUUUAGGGUAUGGUUGGGGAAAGAAACGGACAGAGACUAUCUGAGAUGAGCCGGACAAAAUUCCGACAGGGUUGAGUUUUAGGGUUGAACUUCGAAUUAAUAUUCGACAAGUUUUGACUGGAUUCGAAGGGUGUGAUACAUAUGGUUGGAAAGAGGAGGUUGAGUUGUUUCAGGGGUGUAAGUUAGGAGGGGUUUGGAGUUGGGUUGCCAUAGAUGGGGGUUUCCGACGACCUUUCUGUGAAUAUUUGAGACGAUGGGGGGUUAUUUGAAGGGAAAGGAUUGCAGAAUGGGGAAGGGGAGGUCCUGGUGGUCCUAUGGUGUAAAGCUGGGGAGGUUUGGAGCAAGGUCGCCAGAGACGGUGGUUCCGACGACCUUAUUUUGAAUAUUCGAGACGGAGGAGACCUAUUCGACGGAAACUAAUCACAGGAUGGGAAAGAAGAGGUGGUGAUGGUUUGAUGGUGUAAAUCUGGGGAGGUUUGGUGACCGGCUACCGCCGUGAGGCGAUUUCCGGCGGCGACGUUAGGGUGGUAUGCGGGUGGUCAAGGAGUGGUCAAGGGCGGUGUUAUGUCGGGAGUGGACUGUAAGAGGAAG